AGCUUCUCAAGCGAGGCCCCCGAACAGCAGCCUCAACAUCACCUGGGAUCUCGUCAGAAAUGCAAAUUCUUCCCUCACCCCAAGUCAGCUAAAAUAGAAAUGCUAUUUCUGAGCACAAGCAACUCCAUGAACCCUAUCCUGGUUUCUCAAUAACUCCGACCACUAGAAGGAGACACGGCCAAUUUCAGAGCUGGGAUGAGGAACCUUCAACUGGGAAAAACAAGUUAACUGAUAUCAAAUACAACAAUAUAAAAACAAUUGAAUUCUGGUUAAAAAAAGAAGAGCUACAAAAGAUAUUUUGAUUAAGCAAUGAAAAAUUAAAAUAUGGACCGGAUACCAAAUGACAUAAGGGCACUAUAAAUGAUGUUCUUAGAUACAGUAAUGACACUGGAACUGGGAGAAUAUCUUCAUUCCUGUGACAUGCUUUGAGAGGUCUCUAGGGGUCAAUUGUCAUCUUUACAAUUUACCUUGAAGAGGUUCUAGAAACAUUAUAUGUAUUUAUGCAGAUAUACUCCAUAUAACAUUGCAAAAUGUUAGUAAUUUUGAAUAUAAAUGGUAACAUGGGUCUCCAGUAUUAUUUUUAUCAAAUUUUUGGAAAGUGUGAAAAUGGCCAUAUUAAAAAAUUGGGGAACUACUAGUAUUAAAACCACAUUAAUUUCUCAAUGCUUUUAUUAAAUUAUCACAGCACCAUAUCAUUAUACCAAAUUAUAACAAAAUUAUAACAAAAAAUGUAAGUUA